rnacentral:rRNA from 1 species
GAUCCUGGCUCAGGAUGAACGCUAGCUACAGGCUUAACACAUGCAAGUCGAGGGGCGAGCAUGACGAUAGCUUGCUAUUGUUGAUGGCGACCGGCGCACGGGUGAGUAACGCGUAUCCAACCUGCCCUUGUCCAUCGGAUAACCCGUCGAAAGGCGGCCUAACACGAUAUGCAGUUCUCAGCAGGCAUCUAACGAGAACGAAAUGUAAAGGAGAAGGAUGGGGAUGCGU